CAGUCCCGUUAGUAAUAUUGUAAACGUGCUUCUCUGAACUUUUUAUACACUCACUUCUGCACGAAAUCCUCUUCCCCGCACUAAAAGUGAGUUCUCAGAGCAAAUGCAAAAAGGGGGCCAGUCGACACCAAAAUGGCAAAGUUCAUCUCGAAAAAACUGACUUACAAAGGGGCACAAGGCUUUGUGAUUAUAGAAUUGAGGGAAAAGAACGACAACUGCAGUUGAGGAGUUCACGUGAGAAAUAUGGGUGUAAAAUGCAAAACAAUGCUUACAUCUUUUCUCCUUCAUGGUUCACUAAAAAGUGAGAGGCCAGAUUUCCUUGCCCUUUCUGGCUUGCCGGCAUCAGAGGUCUACUUAAAGGUGUCUGAACAGAAUAGUAAGUAUGAGUCUCCAUGCAGUUUCUUUGACACACACAGAAUACCCGUACAGUCAGUUUAUAUGGAAAUAUUGGUGAAUUCAUUUGAAAAAGACAGGACAGUAACAGAAAAGAGAGCAUCCAAGGAGAUGG
rnacentral:lncRNA from 1 species